rnacentral:lncRNA from 1 species
GGGGUCGCUGUUGGGGGAACCGCCGAAGGACUUCCGGAUCCCCCCGCAAUCCGUACCUCAACCUGCGCAGUCUGCUGCCGCCCAGCAUCACCGGCAUCGCUGCCCCCAAACCGUUGGCGCUGCCACCCCACAGCAUUUUGGGCACCGGCCCCACAGCGCGGAUCGCAUCGGCCCUCAGAGAACCACUGCUGCCAUCGCCUGGAGCUGCUGCUGAGGGGACCCCCAUUGUUCCCCCCACGCCAUCAGCAUCGCACGGUGCCCCCCC